GUCCUGGUGGCCUAAUGGAUUAGGCUUCGGUUUCCGGAGUCGAAGAGUGUGGGUUUAGGUUCCACCCAGAAUG
rnacentral:tRNA from 1 species